CAAUCGCAAGAAGUAUUAUUGAAAGGUGCGCACUACGUAAGGACGAAAGUCUUUUGCAGGGCGCAGGUGAGAGCCGCCCCUGGAGUCUGGGCUGAGCUGGGCCUUCCGGGGUCCUUUCGGGCUGGAGGGUCCUGAAGCCAUGGAUGACCCAUGUGUGCUUUAGAUUUUUUUCUGGAAGCCCUGAAGGCACCCUUGAAAAUUGAGUGUGUUGUGGAACAGACCUAUGGUGAAGCGACUUCCAGUCAUUUGGAAAGGAUGGGAUGAAAAGGAACCUUGGUGAUAAUUUUGAUGUCUGCAAGAUUUAGUACCAGUGUAAUGGGAUUAUCGGUAACACCUUCACUGCAGAAAAAGCCACCUGGCGCUAUAACUGGCAGCAACUGAGAACUAAUCCUUUCCCAUCUCUUGGAUGUCAUUCAUGAAGCUCAAAGCAAUUUCUACCCUGCUAACUGUGAUUAAUUCUAUAAACAACAACAAAAAAAUCAGACUGAGACCCUCUCGGACCCUGCGUGUCGUGCAGCUGGCCGCAGGGACAGCGGGCCAGGGCCACUCAGUGCCGCUCCUCCGUUGGCACUGUCGCUGUUGCCUGCCCCGCUGCUGUUCCUCUCAUGCACACGGAUCACAGAGCCGUUGAAGGUGGAUGCCCUUGGUUUGGUGGUAGCAGCGUCUUCACAAAACGAUGCUUCGAGGAGCUCUGGGGAAGACCUUUCGGCUUGCUGGCUACACCAUUCAGUACGGCUGCAUAGCGCAUUGCGCUUUUGAGUACGUCGGUGGGGUUGUGAUGUGUUCCGGACCAUCAAUGGAGCCUACCAUUCAAAACUCAGAUAUUGUCUUUGCAGAAAAUCUCAGCCGACAUUUUCAUGGCAUCCAAAGAACGUAUGAAGCCUGCGGUGACAGUGAGCACUGCGAGUGUGGACCCAGUCUGCCCUCGGCGAUGACCCGCAAGACUUCAGGCAGUGGGACGCUGUGUCUGGGCCCCUGGGGGCCCGGCUGCGGUGCUGCGCACACCUCGUGUGGCCAGUGUGGAGCCGACGCGGGCUGCGCUGUGGUGCACCGAGCUAGGCACAGGGAGCUACGUCGGCCAAGCACAGCUGCUUUUCCCAGCCCGGGCAGACACGGAUCUUCCCGCCUGGAGGACAGUCCUGGGCAGAGGCUGGAGAGGGUGCCCACGGGCCAUGUCUGGUUAGAAGGUGACAAUCUACAGAACUCCACAGAUUCCAGGUUCUAUGGCCCCAUCCCGUAUGGACUCAUAAGAGGACGCAUCUUCUUUAAGAUCUGGCCUCUGAGUGACUUUGGAUUUCUACGUGACAGCCCCAAUGGCCACCGGUUUUCUGACAACUGACAAGCAUUUAUUCCUCUGACCUGAUGAGUCUCCUGGUCCAGUGAAUUUAUGACCACAGUGGAAACCAUCCAGCCGUGGAAGCCCGUCACUGCUGUCCAGGCCGCCAGGCAGGGCUCCUCCCGCUGAGUCUGAGAAGACUGUCACCACCACAGAGAGCCUGGUCAUACAGAACCUCGAGGUUCCCAAUUACGCAACUGCAAACAAGAAUUUCUACUCCACGAUUCCAUCUGAGCGGAUGAGGGCAGAACAACCCUAUAAGGAAAGCACAAUGUGCCUUCCAAGUGGCUUAUAACUCACUUUUUUAAAGCACUAAACUAAGAAUUUACCAUUAAUAAAGUAAAGGGUUUCAAGGAUGGCUCUGUUUAUCUUCUCCCAUCCAUAUUCUUUUUUUUUGGUACCGGGGAUCAAACUCCAGACCUUGUGCUUACGAGGUAGGUGGCGGAACCACUGAGCUAAAUCCCCAGCCCUCCCAUCCAUAUUCAUUAGCAAACUUCUAUAAACCUUUAGGCUGAACAAUAAAGUUACAGAGUUGAGUGUACAAAACUUCUAGGAAACAGUAGCAUUUUCUUCCUCCACUGAGAGAAGCAAGGAGAACCGCAUGGCUUCCAUGUAGAGGUGUUUUCCUAACUCAGUGCCAUCCACCCAGAGUAACUAAGGGAACACCAGAGAAUGUGAAAAUUAAAUCUGAUUCAAUAAAGCUUUAAAAGGGAAAACGACAAGAUUUCAUGAUAAAGGGGAGGGACAG